CAAAAAUAACCUUUGUUGUUUGAAGCAUCUGCACUGAGGAUUUGAUUUGUUUUCUUUGUAAACAGUAACUCUGGAUUUUGGACUGUAGGCCAGACAAAAAAAGGACAUCCUUGGUCUUUUGGAAGCUAUAAAAGGCCCAUGACUCCCUGAAACGACAGAGCAGUGAACACCCGCAACUUCAGGUUUCACAGCUCAUCCUACCUGAACUUCACUCCGCAGGCGAACACCUGCAGCAGGGACCACACCAUCCUGCAGGCGCCUCUCACCACGUCCCGGGGCAGGUCAGUCAUAAUACGAGUCUCAGCUGUGUGCUGGUCAAAUAUGUUUUCAGUCUGAAACGGGCAAACUAAAGAGUGAGAGUGACGGUGUUUUCUGGUGAUAAGUGAUGUGAUUUCCCUCCAUCUCCAGCAAACACAUCCCUUUCUGUUUAACAAUAGAUCACCUAAUGUGUCAUUUAAAAAAAGAGAAAUACAUUUCAGCACAUCUCAGAAUAAAUGUCUUUAUUGUUCCUACAAGUUCAUAUAUUAUUGAACAUUAUCCAAAUAAAUCAUUACUGUAGACACAAGCACAGAGUUUGGACGAACACAUAUUAAUACAACAGUAUGAGUGAAGCACAAAAAACAGAAAAUGAAAUUGUUAACAUUAAAGACGUGAAGACAGUGUUUUCGCGAUACAAUACAAAACAAUACAACAAUAAUAAUAUAUAACACAUAUAACAUUCAACGUUUAUUGAAAACUUAGUGAAACAACCUUUUUGCACAUAUUGAACCUGGAACUAAGAAGGCCUAUAGAUUAUUGCCUAUAAAACAACAUUAAUUAUGAAAUAAAAACAAUAAAUAAUAAAUAAAUAACAAUAAAGGAAAUGAAACCAGUUUAAUUAAUUUCUUAUGGCUCUAUCUGCAGUUUUUCCAGAGUAAUUUCAAGUGAAAACUACAGGCAAACAGCCAAAAGUUAUUUACGUCAAAGGAAAAUCAAAUGUCCUGUAGUAGCAAGAGGAAAAAAAAAAUGUAAAAAUGAAACUGCAUUAGAAACUGAAAACGUGAUGUUCAGUAGUCUGAGCCAUUUUCUGGGGAGGAGGAUAGUUGAAAGUUGACACAAGCAGUGUGUAAUACCAUAAGACUGCUGAUGAACGAGUGGAGCACGCUUUCCUGGCCCAUGAUUGACGUGCCAAAAUGAAAAUUCCCUCUCAGAGGUACUGAAUCAAUGCCAUGGGUUGUGGAAAUAGACAAUGCAGAGCAUUGCAAGUCAUCCCAAAGUUCAAAAUCAAAGCUGCACCAGUCCUGAAGAACGUAACCCCAUUCCCCACACACUGAAGAAUGUUGCCCCAGUGAGACGAGUCACUAUCAUGUUAGAAGAACAAGACAUUAAAAAAAAAUAAAAAAUCAACAAGGCCAUAAUCAAAGACCUUUGAAAGGAGUUUGGCUCUCCUAGAGAAUUACUGGGGGCUGUAAGAGCACCACAUAAUACAUCUUUUGAUGAUGCUGUUGUAAAGUAUCUAAAAUUCAUCUUGGUGCUCUCCAUAAUCAAACUCCAAGGCAAUCUGCAGCUCAUGAGGCUCAUCAUUCAAGUCCCACAAAAGACCAGUGGAUCCCUACAAACAGUUGACAUGGACAGCAUUGUUAAGCGUCUGUCUCUCCAAGAAAAUUACUGAAGGCUGCAACAGCAUCACAUGAUACAUCUUGUGAUAUCAAGAUGGUGGCACACAAGUACGCGGAGGCUCUGAGCUCUCUACUUCGGUGCUUUUUGUUUGUGCAGUUUGUGAUUGUUUGUGGUGUGGAUGUUUGUGUACGACAGAGUGAAUGGCACAAAAAUAUCAUAUACCCAAGCGAAGUUGCUGGACAUUGGAUUCGCUUGUCACACCGACAUCACAAGGGACACUUUUUUACAUCAAGACCUGCACUGGCAACGUUACAGCAGACAAGUUGAUUAGGGUUUACAAACACAGUUUCUCCAGGUUUGCCAAGUUUCUGGUGAGUCUCAAGCAGCCUUCAGGGAAGCUACAGGGGGAGACAUACCAGGAGCUGCUCCAGACAUGACCAGGGGUGAGAGUUUGAGUCCAACCAGCAGUACAGCAAUUGUGGGUCUCAUCAGCAGCGGAGAUGAGACAAACUACAGCCUGGACUGCUAUUGUACUGCUGUUUGCAUUACAUUUCGCUACUUUAACCUAUUAUGUGCGUUAGGACUUAUUGACCUGUUCCUGUGUUAUAGAUGUUUUUUUUUUAAUAUUUUUUAAAAAUAUUGUUUAACUUUGUGUAUGCUAUUUUUAUGUUUAUCAUUCUUAUUAUUAUUUUAAUAUAUACUUUGAAUAUAUUUUCAUUUGUGUAUACAUUUGUCUAUAUUUAUGUUUACCGUGCUGCACUGUGGCUCUAAGAGCAAUGCAGUUCCAAUCCUCUGUACGUGCGUACAUAUGGUAGAAUUGACAAUAAAGCUGACUUUGACUUUGACCUUA